AAUCCAUAGGUUAAUGAGGCGAACCGGGGGAACUGAAACAUCUAAGUACCCCGAGGAAAAGAAAUCAACCGAGAUUCCCCCAGUAGCGGCGAGCGAACGGGGAGGAGCCCAGAGCCUGAAUCAGCAUGUGUGUUAGUGGAAGCGUCUGGAAAGGCGCGCGAUACAGGGUGACAGCCCCGUACACAAAAGCGCAUGUGCUGUGAGCUCGAUGAGUAGGGCGGGACACGUGGUAUCCUGUCUGAAUAUGGGGGGACCAUCCUCCAAGGCUAAAUACUCCUGACUGACCGAUAGUGAACCAGUACCGUGAGGGAAAGGCGAAAAGAACCCCGGCGAGGGGAGUGAAAAAGAACCUGAAACCGUGUACGUACAAGCAGUGGGAGCACAGGUUUACCUGUGUGACUGCGUACCUUUUGUAUAAUGGGUCAGCGACUUAUAUUCUGUAGCAAGGUUAACCGAAUAGGGGAGCCGGAGGGAAACCGAGUCUUAAUUGGGCGUUAAGUUGCAGGGUAUAGACCCGAAACCCGGUGAUCUAGCCAUGGGCAGGUUGAAGGUUGGGUAACACUAACUGGAGGACCGAACCGACUAAUGUUGAAAAAUUAGCGGAUGACCUGUGGCUGGGGGUGAAAGGCCAAUCAAACCGGGAGAUAGCUGGUUCUCCCCGAAAGCUAUUUAGGUAGCGCCUCGUGAAUUCAUCUCCGGGGGUAGAGCACUGUUUCGGCUAGGGGGCCAUCCCGGCUUACCAACCCGAUGCAAACUGCGAAUACCGGAGAAUGUUAUCACGGGAGACACACGGCGGGUGCUAACGUCCGUCGUGAAGAGGGAAACAACCCAGACCGCCAGCUAAGGUCCCAAAGUCAUGGUUAAGUGGGAAACGAUGUGGGAAGGCCCAGACAGCCAGGAUGUUGGCUUAGAAGCAGCCAUCAUUUAAAGAAAGCGUAAUAGCUCACUGGUCGAGUCGGCCUGCGCGGAAGAUGUAACGGGGCUAAACCAUGCACCGAAGCUGCGGCAGCGAACGUAUCACUUAAAGCGAUUCAGCGGGUUACGAUUGACGGAGCGAAGCGACGUCAAAGCGUAUACAAAGUCGAGUCGGUUUAAGGAUACGUUCGUUGGGUAGGGGAGCGUUCUGUAAGCCUGCGAAGGUGGCCUGUGAGGGUUGCUGGAGGUAUCAGAAGUGCGAAUGCUGACAUAAGUAACGAUAAAGCGGGUGAAAAGCCCGCUCGCCGGAAGACCAAGGGUUCCUGUCCAACGUUAAUCGGGGCAGGGUGAGUCGACCCCUAAGGCGAGGCCGAAAGGCGUAGUCGAUGGGAAACGGGUUAAUAUUCCCGUACUUGGUGUUACUGCGAAGGGGGGACGGAGAAGGCUAUGUUGGCCGGGCGACGGUUGUCCCGGUUUAAGCGUGUAGGUGUGUGUUCCAGGUAAAUCCGGUUCACUUUAACACU
rnacentral:rRNA from 1 species